rnacentral:tmRNA from 1 species
GGGGCUGAUCGGUUUCGACGUUGGGACCAGGAUGCGGCGGCGUGCGACCGGAGUUGCUCAGACUCCAAAAACGGGGCACCCAAAGAGACGCCGAUACGGACGAUCUCACUCUCGCUGCCUGAUCUGAUCAGGGAACAGAGAGUCAUUGUGGCGCAGCAAUGUGUCACGGGGCCUGAUCACUGCAGCCUGUCACCAGAAGCAGUGGUGGACGGUGGGAGAGACCACUGACCGCAGGGAACAGACCGCUGACCUCGAGGAAAGACUCGGCGGCUGAGCUUGCUCAAUCGACCCGGCGAACCCACAGCCGCAAGUGGGACUCACGGGAAUGGUCGUAACGCGUCACGUGACCACCUGACGGACGAGGGUUCGAUUCCCUCCAGCUCCACUC